ACAACAUGGGCUUUGAUGUGG
rnacentral:siRNA from 1 species